rnacentral:tRNA from 1 species
GGGGUUGUGGCUCAGUGGUAGAGCGCCCGCCUCACACGUGCGAGACCCUGGGUUUGAUCCUCAUUCAGCACCA